rnacentral:rRNA from 1 species
AGCGAACGCUGGCGGCAGGCUUAACACAUGCAAGUCGAGCGCCCCGCAAGGGGAGCGGCAGACGGGAGAGUAACACGUGGGAACGUGCCCUUUGGUCUGGAAUAACUCAGGGAAACUUGAGCUAAUGCCGGAUACGCCCUUCGGGGGAAAGAUUUAUCGCCAUUGGAGCGGCCCGCGUCUGAUUAGCUAGUUGGUGAGGUAACGGCUCACCAAGGCGACGAUCAGUAGCUGGUCUGAGAGGAUGACCAGCCUCAUUGGGACUGAGACACGGCCCAAACUCCUACGGGAGGCAGCAGUGGGGAAUAUUGGACAAUGGGCGCAAGCCUGAUCCAGCCAUGCCGCGUGAGUGAUGAAGGCCUUAGGGUUGUAAAGCUCUUUUAGCAGGGAAGAUAAUGACGGUACCUGCAGAAAAAGCCCCGGCUAACUUCGUGCCAGCCGCCGCCGUAACAC